GAAGACUUCAUUGCCGAUCUUGACAGGACGUUAGCAAGUAUGUGAAGCAAGGAGUCCAGGGUCCAUAGGCCACAACAGUGAGACUCCCGAAGGCUCCAAGCACCUGGCAAAAUCAGCUACUAGAAUCAGCUGCAGGAGGGGACGAAGCUAAGGCUCACACGCCAUCAGGCUGUUCUUGGCUCACCCUAACAUUUGCCAUCUGGCCCAUCUCUGGGCAACUCAGACAGCAAAACUGACUUUAUUUACCUGCCUGCAGCAUGUUUCAGCAGAUGAUCUGUCUAAUGUGUUUUUACUCCUUAAACAUAACUCUUCUAUAAUUUAAAAUGCGUUUAUGGAAAUAUUUGUAAUUACUUAUAUAUAGUUGGAGACAAUAAUAAGCUUUUCCCAUUAUAAUAUAUUUUUGUAUACAAAUAAAGUUUAAGCUGGAAU